UACGUAGGGCGCAAGCGUUGUCCGGAAUUAUUGGGCGUAAAGAGCUCGUAGGCGGUCUGUCGCGUCUGCCGUGAAAACCCGAGGCUUAACCUCGUGGCUUGCGGUGGAUACGGGCAGACUAGAGGUAGGUAGGGGAGAAUGGAAUUCCCGGUGUAGCGGUGAAAUGCGCAGAUAUCAGGAGGAACACCGGUGGCGAAGGCGGGUCUCUGGGCAACAACUGACGCUGAGGAGCGAAAGCGUGGGGAGCGAACAGG
rnacentral:rRNA from 1 species